UACGUAGGUGGCGAGCGUUGUCCGGAUUUACUGGGCGUAAAGAGCGCGCAGGCGGUCGGAUCAGUCGAAUGUGAAAGCCCCCGGCUUAACUGGGGAGGGUCAUUCGAUACUGUUCGACUCGAAGGCAGGAGAGGGAAGUGGAAUUCCCGGUGUAGUGGUGAAAUGCGUAGAUAUCGGGAGGAACACCGGUGGCGAAGGCGGCAUUCUGGACCAACACUGACGCUGAGGAGCGAAAGCCAGGGGAGCAAACGGG
rnacentral:rRNA from 1 species